GAGAAAUUGUUGAAUAAGAGUAGUAGCGUAAGUGUGCAAAAAAGAGAGUCAGUGGUUGGUGUGAACUGAUUUGUAGCUUAUGUGAAUGGACUUAUGAGAGUUGCUAAUACCAUUUUAGCAAACGUGUUCCUACGUUAUAGGGAGUGCAUUUAUGCACAUAAGUGAGAGCAAUAUUGCUCUAAUUUGAGGUGGCAACGCGGUCAAAAUCGUCCUCUGC
rnacentral:ncRNA from 1 species